rnacentral:rRNA from 1 species
GCCUACGGGACGCAGCAGUGAGGAAUAUUGGUCAAUGGGCGGAAGCCUGAACCAGCCAAGUCGCGUGAGGGAAUAAGGCCCUACGGGUCGUAAACCUCUUUUGACGGGGAGCAAGGCCGCCGACGUGUCGGCGGAAGGAGAGUACCCGUAGAACAAGCAUCGGCUAACUCCGUGCCAGCAGCCGCGGUAAUACGGAGGAUGCGAGCGUUAUCCGGAUUUAUUGGGUUUAAAGGGUGCGCAGGCGG